rfam:Treponema lecithinolyticum ATCC 700332 genomic scaffold Scaffold81, whole genome shotgun sequence.
GCGGCUAUCGUAUAUCGGUAUUACACGACCUUCCCAAGGUUGAUAGGUGGGUUCGACUCCCAUUAGCCGCU